AAACCGCUCCACAGAACCGCUGUUAACCAUUGGUCGUUGAGGAGGCGUAUUCUCAAAGGACCCAUAUCUACUGCUGUGUUAAUGGGGGCGUGGUUUGGUAAUACGCCAAUUUGGCCACUAUUAGUGGAUAAAAUGAUUUCUUUCACCUCACAAUCCCAAAUAAUUCGCUUAGGAGUCAGUACAUAA
rnacentral:rRNA from 1 species